rnacentral:lncRNA from 1 species
CUAUGAUGUCAGGAAGUAAAUGAUAGAAGAUGUCAGCUCUCCUAUCUAUAACCUCAGCUUUGCAGUUUCUCUGGGGGCCUCAUGCACUCUUACAGCUUCUUAAACAGGAAGUAGACCUGGCAAAAAAUUUAAGUGCGUUUUACACUUGAUAUACCACAGACUCGGCCAGAACAGUUCUAAACAGAAGACUUCACAGAAAUCCUGACACUUUGUUUUUUGCCAAAGAACAGUGUCUUUUUCAGAAAUGCUGAUUUUGGGAUCAUGGACAUUCUCCUUAAUUUCUCCUUAGCAAGUCUGUUGGAAGGAGGAAAUUGGUGCCUUUGAGCAGAUUAUCCCCCCCACACAACAGCGCUUGAUAAGGGACGGUAAGAAGCACAGGUGAGUGCUGUUAGAAGGUGGGGGUGGGAAAGAGGAGGAAGGCACAGGAGGAGUCAAUAAGAGGUUAAAUAGAAAGACCAGAGCAACCCGAGAGAGCCUGAGAGCACUGGGUGAUGAGAAGACCUGCAGGAAGGGAAUGGACACAAGAUAUGGAUGUGACAGUUGGCACUACAGGUCUCUCCAAAAGUAGGAAGUGCAAGGGCACAUGUGGAGCUGCCUAAAGUUUGCACAGAGAUAUUGCUCCAGAAACAGAAACCACACAGAAUUCCGCAGGCAUCUGAGCCUGGAGCAGCCUCAGCUGGGUGCCAUUUUGACCCCAGAUACUGGAGAUUUACAGACAUGGUUGCAGCCAUUGCACUGCUCCAAGGAGAGAGAAAGGAAAAUGGGUGCACUCAUGCACACUCAGGCAGGGACUUGCUCCCCUGCUACAAUCAUCUGUUGAGACUGAGACUCAAGUGGACCACACUUCCCACAGCUUCUUGCUCAUGCUGCCAGCCUGGGUGGUCCCUGGCUCUCUCUGGUCCCAAGCCCAAGGCUCUAUUUUGAGAGUUUAACUCUGGACUGUCCCCUAUCUUCAGCCUGAGCUCAGGCUGAUGCAGCUGCAACCACUGCCUGGCUAAGGAGGGACAGGGAGACCAGGUCAUCCUACUCAUAUCUAGGACGAUACUCACUGCUCUGCAACAGGCUGCUGUGAAACUGGCUGACAUGUGAGUGAACCACACUCCCCACAGCUUCUUGCCCAUACUGCUUGCCGGAGCAUUGCCCCAUUCUCCCUGGAUGUAAGCCCAAGGCAUCCUUUUGAGAGUUUAAUUCUAAGCUGCAUCUCACCAUCGCCAUGAGUAAACUAUGCAUUGGACCAAGGACUAAUAUCCAGAAUCUAUAAAGAACUUAAAGAAAUCAAGAAGAGGCCGGGCGCGGUGGCUCACGCCUGUAAUCCCAGCACUUUGGGAGGCCGAGGCGGGCGGAUCACGAGGU